UACAGGGGGGGCAAGCGUUGUUCGGAAUUACUGGGCGUAAAGGGCUCGUAGGCGGCCAACUAAGUCGGACGUGAAAUCCCCAGGCUCAACCUGGGAACUGCGUCCGAGACUGGAAGGCUCGAAUUCGGGAGAGGGAUGCAGAAUUCCAGGUGUAGCGGUGAAAUGCGUAGAUAUCUGGAGGAAUACCGGUGGCGAAGGCGGCAUCCUGGACCGACAUUGACGCUGAUGAGCGAAAGCUAGGGGAGCAAACAGG
rnacentral:rRNA from 1 species